CCAUGGCUGGAGUUCCCAGGGGGUGCAUACACUCAUCGCCCCUCUCCACUGCUCUUCACAUCACAUCUGUCUCAGGCUCUAAUGCUUCCAGGACUGAUGGACAAGAAGGCAAAGGUCAGAGCUGUAUAGACGCUCAAGCCAGCCUGAAGAAAGAGCAGGUUUUGAGAUAGUAUGACAAAGUUCUUUAAGUGGUUAAAAAAUAAUUCGCUCAUAAUUUUUGUGUUUAAUUGUAUGAAAUAAAAGAUAAAUUUGUUGACGAAAAGCAGAGUUCUAUUGAAGUUUUAUUGUUAAGGAAAGACAUUCAAGGAUUAGAGGCUUUGUAUUUGUAACAAGUUCAUAUGAAAAUUCAGAUUUUUUCUUAGUCAGUUACAUAGCACUAAUCAUCAAGUUGCUGAUAACUUAGCACACAGCUUUUUGAAACAUAGACACUCCUGAAUGGAAACAACAAACAUAUUGGCAGCUUAAAACUUCAAAUGCGUCACCUUAUGGUGACAACAUCUAGCUUUUAUAUACAGCCAAUGAAAACAAAUUGCUUAUACAUUUGUAUAAAACAACUCUUAAAGCUAUCACUUCAGCAAAGCCCUUGGAGACCUUGAGACUCCCGAGAGCUUCGAUCAGUUUUUCAAGUGGUACCUGACGGGAAAUGAUAUGUGUCCUCAUCUCCACUAUCUGCCUAAUGAUGAUGACCAAGAAGAGUCCAGGUCUGAUAAAUGAUAACAGAUAUCAAUGUGAUCAGGAAGAACUGAAAUUGAUUAUUUCAAACUGAACUGUGUUUGACAAACUUACUCAGUUAUUAUCCAGUGGAUAAUAGCACAUCCAUAUAAAAGAAUUCAAGUUGCUUUAUACUUUUCCCACAUUCUGUUUCAGUAAAAUACUUUUGGUAUCUCACAUACUGCAUAUUUGUUUGCUACUUUAUAAAUUAAAACAGUGGUACCUCAGUUAUUUGACUCUUUACGUUAUAAAACCUUUGCUCCAGAUUGAGCUAUUAGAAAAUAAGAUAAGUCUGAGGGCUGAAGAGAUAGUAAUUAUUGACAGGUUAUUAUGACAAUGGGCCCCGGCCAUAAAAAUGUCAAAGGACGUUCUACCCACUUGCGCAAAGGGUAUGCAGUGUACGUGCUUUUCCUAAGCAAACAAAGAUUGGUUACACAAUAAACAAAGCCAACUCUCAAAAACGGCUUGUAAUCUUUUGAAAUCAUUCUCCUUUUCAACCUUUAAAUCACUGCUAUUCUUUUACAAUCUGAGGUUUAAAAACAUCUUAAUUUUAAAAACUCAAACACAAUUUAAUCAAAAGUGAAAGAUUUCCUGAAGAACUGAUUUUGUUCUGUUUUUUUCCCCUUUUUUUCUUUCUUUGCUUUUGAUAAAAUUUAACUGACUUGCUUCAAAUUAGCUUCUAACAUCCGAAGUGGACCACUUGCAAAGAGGACAGUGUAAUUCCACAUCUAUUGCUAUAAUAAAUACUGCAAAAAGUUAUUUGUUUGUCUAGCAUAAACUUUUUUCUUCCUCCACCUGUUAUCAUGCUGUUUGUACUUGAGUGAUAGUGGGGUAAAUAUAAUCAACAGACACUUGAUUUUAAUUGAAAAUGCCAAAUGAGAUUUUAGCUCAUGGAGGAACUAUAAGAUCGAUGGCUCAGUGAAAAAGAAUCACGACUCGCCAUAAUUUCUGUUGUGAGCUCUGGUAGAUUUUCUUUGUGUCAGGUUGUGAUCAGCUGACCUGUGCUGCUGCUGCUUUGAUCUUUGCUGUUUUUUGUGGAUUUGCACAAGUUUAUUUGUUGAGAACCCGAUGUUCCCACCUCUGUAAAGAAUGGGAAGGACGGAAUAGCAGACCUGCACAAGUCUGGAAUGGUCUAUAAGACCGUUCAGCAAGAACGUGAGUGGUGAGAAGGUGAAAACUAAGCUAUUAUUUGGAGAUGGAUUAAAGCAUCUUUGAUUCUUCUAGAACUCAUGUUCAUGUAUGACUUACAAAAUUGGAUCUGUUAUUGAUCACACACUAGCUAAUUUGAAGUGUGAAUCUAAGUGUGAGGUCGCUAUGGUCUGCCCUCAGAUCCACUAGCCACUGAGCAUUGCCGUUAUGGGUUGCGUCCUUCUCCCAUAUGCUCUUCCAGUAUUGCUCCGUCUCCAGCCUUGGUGGUGCUGUUCUGUUAUUGUUCCCUUGCCACUGAGAGUACACCUUUGCUGGUUCUGUGGAGAACAGCUGGUUUAUUCUCCUGCCUUCUCUCUCUCUGGUGUACCUCCUCAAGCGGGUGGCCAAGGGUGUGAGUCUUUGCUUGGCAGUUUCCAAGGCCUCAGCCUCCUUCUCCAUGGAGGGUACUGCCCCUUGUGGCUGUUCAACUUGUAGCCAAGCAUCUCACUGAUCACUGCUGCCGUAGUGUUAGUGUCGGUAAUCGUGGUUGUAGGUAUCGUCCGUAGUGCUGCAUUAACAUCAUCUAGCAGACCUUCUGAGGGUACUUCACGUAAUCUUGGUAACGGGCUACGGGGGAUCCAGGUUUCAAGCUUGGCCAUGAUCCU
ensembl:lncRNA